rnacentral:rRNA from 1 species
UACGUAGGGUGCGAGCGUUGUCCGGAAUUAUUGGGCGUAAAGAGCUCGUAGGCGGUCUGUCGCGUCGGUCGUGAAAACUUGGGGCUUAACCCUGAGCUUGCGGUCGAUACGGGCAUGACUGGAGUUCGGCAGGGGAGACUGGAAUUCCUGGUGUAGCGGUGAAAUGCGCAGAUAUCGGGAGGAACACCAGUAGCGAAGGCGGCACUCUGGGCCGGUACUGACGCUGAGGAGCGAAAGCGUGGGGAGCGAACAGG